rnacentral:rRNA from 1 species
UCUGCUCAAUGAUUUUUUAAAUUGCUGUGGUAUUUUGACUAUACGAAGGUAUUGAAAUAAGAUUUUAAAUGAGUGCUAAGAGAAUGGUUGAACAAUUAAUGACUUUCUUUAAUUAAAAAAUUAAAUUUAAUUUUUUAAAGCGCAAAAGCAAAAAUGAAAAUUUGGGACAAGAAGACCCUAUGAAUUUUUAUUUAUUUUUUAAUUUUUAAAAAUUAUUAAAAUAAAUUUGAUUGGGGCGAUGGAUAAAGAGUAGAUAUCUUUAUUUAAAUUUAAAAAAU